rnacentral:rRNA from 1 species
GAUGAACGCUGGCGGCGUGCCUAAUACAUGCAAGUCGAACGAGGUGCUUUUGUAGCAAUACGAGAGUAUCCUAGUGGCGAACGGGUGAGUAACGCGUUGGUGACCUACCCCAAAGUGUGGGAUAACAGUCCGAAAGGAUUGCUAAUACCGCAUGUGGUCAUUGGAUUUAGAAACUUAUGACUAAAGGAGCAAUUCGCUUUGGGAGGGACCUGCGUCCCAUCAGCUAGUUGGUGAGGUAAUGGCUCACCAAGGCGACGACGGGUAGGGGACCUGAGAGGGUGGCCCCCCAAAAUGGAACUGAAACACGGUCCAUACACCUACGGGUGGCAGCAGUAGGGAAUAUUGCCCAAUGGACGAAAGUCGGAGGCAGCAGCGCCGCGUGCACGAUGAAGGCCUUCGGGUCGUAAAGUGCUUUUCUGGGAGAUGAGAAAGGACAGUAUCCCAGGAAUAAGUCUCGGCUAACUACGUGCCAGCCGCCGCCGUAAGAC